AUUGAACGCUGGCGGCAUGCCUUACACAUGCAAGUCGAACGGCAGCAUGGAGAGCUUGCUCUCUGAUGGCGAGUGGCGAACGGGUGAGUAAUGCAUCGGAACGUACCGUUUAAUGGGGGAUAACGUAGCGAAAGUUACGCUAAUACCGCAUACGACCUGAGGGUGAAAGCAGGGGAUCGCAAGACCUUGCGUUAUACGAGCGGCCGAUGUCAGAUUAGCUAGUUGGUGAGGUAAAGGCUCACCAAGGCGACGAUCUGUAGCGGGUCUGAGAGGAUGAUCCGCCACACGGGGACUGAGACACGGCCCAGACUCCGACGGGGGGCAGCAGCGGGGAAUUUUGGACAAUGGGGGCAACCCUGAUCCAGCCAUGCCGCGUGAGUGAAGAAGGCCUUCGGGUUGUAAAGCUCUUUCGGCCGGGAAGAAAUCGCACAGGCUAAUACUCUGUGUGGAUGACGGUACCGGCAUAAGAAGCACCGGCUAACUACGUGCCAGCCGCCGCGGUAA
rnacentral:rRNA from 1 species